AUUGAACGCUGGCGGCAUGCCUUACACAUGCAAGUCGAACGGCAGCACGGGAGCAAUCCUGGUGGCGAGUGGCGAACGGGUGAGUAAUAUAUCGGAACGUGCCCAGUCGUGGGGAUAACGUAGCGAAAGCUACGCUAAUACCGCAUACGAUCUAUGGAUGAAAGCGGGGGAUCGCAAGACCUCGCGCGAUUGGAGCGGCCGAUAUCAGAUUAGGUAGUUGGUGAGGUAAAGGCUCGCCAAGCCGACGAUCUGUAGCUGGUCUGAGAGGACGACCAGCCACACUGGGACUGAGACACGGCCCAGACUCCUACGGGAGGCAGCAGUGGGGAAUUUUGGACAAUGGGCGCAAGCCUGAUCCAGCAAUGCCGCGUGCAGGAUGAAGGCCUUCGGUUGUAACUAGCUUUGUAC
rnacentral:rRNA from 1 species